AACGAACGCUGGCGGCAUGCCUAACACAUGCAAGUCGAACGAGACCUUCGGGUCUAGUGGCGCACGGGUGCGUAACGCGAGGGAACCUGCCCUUAGGUUCGGAAUAACUCCCCGAAAGGGGUGCUAAUACCGGAUAAUGUCUUCGGACCAAAGAUUUAUCGCCUUUGGAUGGGCCCGAGUUGGAUUCGCUAGUUGGUAGGGUAAAAGCCUACCAAGGCGACGAUCCAUAGCUGGUCUGAGAGGAUGAUCAGCCACACUGGGACUGAGACACGGCCCAGACUCCUACGGGAGGCAGCAGUGGGGAAUAUUGGACAAUGGGCGAAAGCCUGAUCCAGCAAGGCCGCGUGAGUGAUGAAGGCCUUAGGGUUGUAAAGCUCUUUUACCCGGGAUGAUAAUGACAGUACCGGGAGAAUAAGCGCCGGCUAACUCCGUG
rnacentral:rRNA from 1 species